rnacentral:sRNA from 1 species
AUUUUUUUCUUCUUCUUUUACGUUAAGCGACGUCGUAUCU